CUACGGAGGGGGCUAGCGUUGUUCGGAAUUACUGGGCGUAAAGCGUACGUAGGCGGACUGAUCAGUUGGGGGUGAAAUCCCAGGGCUUAACCCUGGAACUGCCUUCAAUACUGUCAGUCUUGAGUUCGAGAGAGGUGAGUGGAAUUCCGAGUGUAGAGGUGAAAUUCGUAGAUAUUCGGGGGAACACCAGUGGCGAAGGCGGCUCACUGGCUCGAUACUGACGCUGAGGUGCGAAAGCGUGGGGAGCAAACAGGAUUAGAUACCCUAGUAGUCC
rnacentral:rRNA from 1 species